rnacentral:lncRNA from 1 species
CCCUAUCCUGAUCCCACGAUUUUUAAGGUCAGAGCUGAACGAAAAAUUCUUGACUUUGUUGGAUGAUGAUGUUGUAUAUAUUGAUUACACUCAUUUAGUUAAUUAAUUGAUUAUAGAAAUAUGAUAUACGAUCGUUAUAAUUAAUAUUGAUAGUCAAAUUUAAUAUGGUAUUAUAUUUAUUGAACUUAUUGAUUUGUUUUAUAAAAAUUU